rnacentral:rRNA from 1 species
UACGUGGAGGGCUAGCGUUGUCCGGAAUCAUUGGGCGUAAAGCGCGUGUAGGCGGUCCGGUAAGUCCGCUGUGAAAGUCGAGGGCUCAACUGAGGAAGUGCAUCCGAAACUGGCAAGCUUGAGUACGAAAGAGGGUCGCGGAAUUCCCGGUGUAGAGGUGAAAUUCGUAGAUAUCUGGAGGAACACCGGUGGCGAAGGCGACAUCCUGGACCGGUAUUGACGCUGAGGCGCGAAAGCGUGGGGAGCAAACAGG